AGAGUUUGAUCAUGGCUCAGAUUGAACGCUGGCGGUAGGCUUAACACAUGCAAGUCGUGCGAGAAAGUAUCUUCGGAUAUGAGUAGAGCGGCGGACGGGUGAGUAACGCGUAGGAAUCUACCUAGUAGAAGGGGAUAGCCCGGGGAAACUCGGAUUAAUACCGUAUACCUCCUUCGGGAGAAAGAAGGCCUCUCUUUGAAGCUUUCGCUAUUAGAUGAGCCUGCGUAAGAUUAGCUUGUUGGUGAGGUAAAGGCUCACCAAGGCAACGAUCUUUAGCGGGUCUGAGAGGACGAUCCGCCACAUUGGGACUGAGACACGGCCCAGACUCCUACGGGAGGCAGCAGUGGGGAAUAUUGGACAAUGGGCGCAAGCCUGAUCCAANCAUACCGCGUGUGUGAAGAAGGCCCUAGGGUUGUAAAGCACUUUAAGUUGGGAAGAAAAGUUAUUGGUUAAUACCCAAUAACCGUGACGUUACCUCAGAAUAAGGACCGGUAU
rnacentral:rRNA from 1 species